rnacentral:rRNA from 1 species
AAUAUUGGACAAUGGGGGCAACCCAACUCCAGCCAUGUCGCGUGUGUGAAGAAGGAAUUUGACUUGUACCGCACUUUAAGUUGGGAGAAAGGGCUUUAGGUUAAUACCCUGCAGUUUUGACGUUACCAACAGAAUAAGCACCGGCUAACUUUGUGCAAGCAGCCGCGGUAAUACUGAGGGUGCAAGCGUUAAUCGGAAUUACUGGGCGUAAAGCGCGCGUAGGUGGUUCAGUAAGAUGGGUGUGAAAUCCCCGGGCUUAACCUGGGAACUGCUUUCAUAACUGCUGAGCUAGAGUACGGGAGAGGGUAGUGGAAUUUCCUGUGUAGCGGUGAAAUGCGUAGAGAUAGGAAGGAACACCAGUGGCGAAGGCGACUACCUGGACUGAUACUGACACUGAGGUGCGAAAGCGUGGGGAGCAAAC